UUCCGGUUGUCCUGCCAAGGGCAAAGGCCGGGUAGCUAUGUUUGGAAGUGAUAAGCGCUGAAAGCAUCUAAGUGCCAAGCACCCCCCAAGACUAAGUAUCCCUGAGUCGCAAGACUCUGUAGGCUAGUGGUAGACUACCACUUUAAUAGGCGUAAAGUGUAAGAUCCGUAAGGAUUUCAGCUAAUACGUACUAAUCAGCCAAUAGGCUUGUCCUU
rnacentral:rRNA from 1 species